rnacentral:rRNA from 1 species
CUAACAGCAUGCUACAGUCGAGCGGCAGCACGGGUACUUGUACCUGGUGGCGAGCGGCGGACGGGUGAGUAAUGCCUAGGAAUCUGCCUGGUAGUGGGGGAUAACGUUCGGAAACGAACGCUAAUACCGCAGACGUCCUACGGGAGAAAGCAGGGGACCUUCGGGCCUUGCGCUUUCAGAUGAGCCUAGGUCGGAUUAGCUAGUUGGUGAGGUAAUGGCUCACCAAGGCGACGAUCCGUAACUGGUCUGAGAGGAUGAUCAGUCACACUGGAACUGAGACACGGUCCAGACUCCUACGGGAGGCAGCAGUGGGGAAUAUUGGACAAUGGGCGAAAGCCUGAUCCAGCCAUGCCGCGUGUGUGAAGAAGGUCUUCGGAUUGUAAAGCACUUUAAGUUGGGAGGAAGGGCAGUUACCUAAUACGUAAUUGUUUUGACGUUACCGACAGAAUAAGCACCGGCUAACUCUGUGCCAGCAGCCGCGGUAAUACAGAGGGUGCAAGCGUUAAUCGGAAUUACUGGGCGUAAAGCGCGCGUAGGUGGUUCGUUAAGUUGGAUGUGAAAUCCCCGGGCUCAACCUGGGAACUGCAUUCAAAACUGUCGAGCUAGAGUAUGGUAGAGGGUGGGUGGAAUUUCCUGUGUAGCGGUGAAAUGCGUAGAUAUAGGAAGGAACACCAGUGGCGAAGGCGACCACCUGGACUGAUACUGACACUGAGGUGCGAAAGCGUGGGGAGCAAACAGGAUUAGAUACCCUGGUAGUCCACGCCGUAAACGAUGUCAACUAGCCGUUGGGAGCCUUGAGCUCUUAGUGGCGCAGCUAACGCAUUAAGUUGACCGCCUGGGGAGUACGGCCGCAAGGUUAAACUCAAAUGAAUUGACGGGGGCCCGCACAAGCGGUGGAAC